rnacentral:rRNA from 1 species
AACCUGCCUCUAUCUUGGGCAUAACCCGGAGAAAUCUGGGACAAUUCCCAAUAGGCAUGGGGGGUCAUAAGACAUUCCCAUGUAAAGUUCCGACGGAUAGAGAGGGGCCUAUGGCUCAUCAGCUAGUUGGUAGGGUAAUGGCCUACCAAAGCUACGACGAGUAGCAGGUGUGAGAGCACGAUCUGCCCCACUGUGACUGAGACACUGUCCAGACUCCUACGGGAGGCUGCAGUCAAGAAUCUUCCUCAAUGGACGAAAGUCUGAAGGAGCAAUGCCGCGUGAUCGAUGAAGCUCUUCGGAGUGUAAAGGUCUAUUAUCCAAGGACGAAUUCGCUGACGGUACCUGAAGGAAUAAGUCACUGCUAACUUCGUGCCAGGAGCAGCGGUAAUACGAAGGUGGGCAAGCGUUACCCGGAAUGAUUUGGGCGUAAAGCGUCCGCAGACGGGUCAGAAAAGU